UGUAAGCGUAUACCAAAGUUGUUGCAGUUAAAACGCUCGUAGCCGGAAUUUGGCAGUUCCGGAUGUGUGCACGUCGUGUGCGCACUUCGCGGGGAUUGCUUUUGUGGUCUUGCGUAGGAUGAGGCACUUUUAUUAGUGAACGUCCUCACGCAACCACUUUUUACUGUGAGAAAAUCAGAGUGCUCAAAGCAGGCAUUUGCCGUGAAUGUAUUAGCAUGGAAUAAUAGAAUAGGACUUGGUUCUAUUUUGUUGGUUUGUUGGGACUGAGUAAUGAUUAAGAGGGACAGUUGGGGGCAUUUGUAUUUCGGUGCUAGAGGUGAAAUUCUUAGAUUACCGAAAGACAAACUGCUGCGAAAGCGUCUGCCAAGGAUGUUUUCAUUGA
rnacentral:rRNA from 1 species